CACAUGCAAGUCGAACGGUAACAGGAAGCAGCUUGCUGCUUUGCUGACGAGUGGCGGACGGGUGAGUAAUGUCGGAAACUGCCUGAUGGAGGGGGAUAACUACUGGAAACGGUAGCUAAUACCGCAUAACGUCGCAAGACCAAAGGGGGGACCUUCGGGCCUCUUGCCAUCGGAUGUGCCCAGAUGGGAUUAGCUAGUAGGUGGGGUAACGGCUCACCUGGCGACGAUCCCUAGCUGGUCUGAGAGGAUGACCAGCCACACUGGAACUGAGACACGGUCCAGACUCCUACGGAGGCACAGUGGGGAAUAUUGCACAAUGGGCGCAAGCCUGAUGCAGCCAUGCCGCGUGUAUGAAGAAGGCCUUGGGUUGUAAAGUACUUUCAGCGGGGAGGAAGGUGUUGAGGUUAAUAACCUCAGCAAUUGACGUUACCCGCAGAAAAGCACCGGCUAACUCCGUGCCAGCAGCCGCGGUAAUACGGAGGGUGCAAGCGUUAAUCGGAAUUACUGGGCGAAAGCGCACGCAGGCGGUCUGUCAAGUCGGAUGUGAAAUCCCCGGGCUCAACCUGGGAACUGCAUUCGAAACUGCAGGCUAGAGUCUUGUAGAGGGGGGUAGAAUUCCAGGUGUAGCGGUGAAAUGCGUAGAGAUCUGGAGGAAUACGGUGGCGAAGGCGGCCCCCUGGACAAAGACUGACGCUCAGGUGCGAAAGCGUGGGGAGCAAACAGGAUUAGAACCCUGGUAGUCCACGCCGUAAACGAUGUCGACUUGGAGGUUGUGCCCUUGAGGCGUGGCUUCCGGAGCUAACGGUUAAGUCGACCGCCUGGGGAGUACGGCCGCAAGGUUAAAACUCAAAUGAAUUGACGGGGGCCCGCACAAGCGUGGAGCAUGUGGUUUAAUUCGAUGCAACGCGAAGAACCUUACCUACUCUUGACAUCCAGAGAACUUAGCAGAGAUCUUUGGUGCCUUCGGGAACUUCCUGAAAACAGGGCCUU
rnacentral:rRNA from 1 species